GAUGAACGCUGGCGGCGUGCCUAAUACAUGCAAGUCGAGCGAACAGACGAGGAGCUUGCUCCUCUGACGUUAGCGGCGGACGGGUGAGUAACACGUGGAUAACCUACCUAUAAGACUGGGAUAACUUCGGGAAACCGGAGCUAAUACCGGAUAAUAUAUUGAACCGCAUGGUUCAAUAGUGAAAGACGGCUUUGCUGUCACUUCUAGAUGGAUCCGCGCCGCUUUAGCUAGUUGUUAAGGUAACGGCUUACCAAGGCGACGAGGCGUAGCCGAACUGAGAGAGUGAUCGGCCACACUGGAACUGAGACACGGUCAAGACUCCUACGGGAGGCAGCAGUAGGGAAUCUUCCGCAAUGGGCGAAAGCCUGACGGAGCAACGCCGCGUGAGUGAUGAAGGUCUUCGGAUCGUAAAACUCUGUUAUUAGGGAAGAACAAAUGUGUAAGUAACUAUGCACGUCUUGACGGUACCUAAUCAGAAAGCCACGGCUAACUACGUG
rnacentral:rRNA from 1 species